AUUGAACGCUGGCGGCAGGCCUAACACAUGCAAGUCGAACGAGUGGCGGACGGGUGAGUAAUGUCUUGGAAACUGCGCGAUGGAGCGGGCUAACAACUGGACACCGUAGCUAAUACCGCAUACCAGCGGCUGUGCCGAGAUGGGAUGAGCUAGUAGGGGGGGUAAAGGCUCACCUAGGCGACGAUCCCUAACUGGUCUGAGAGGAGAACCAUCCACACGUGAAGUGAGACAGGGUCCAGAAUCCUCCGGGAGGCAGCAGUGGGGAAUAUUGAACAAUGGGCGAAAGCCGGAUGCCGCAAUGCGGCGUGUAUGAAGAAGGCCUUCGGGUUGGAAAGUACUUUCAGCGGGGAGGCGUUACUAGCAGAAGAAGCACCGGCUAACUACGUGCCAGCAGCCGCGGUAAUUC
rnacentral:rRNA from 1 species